GUGGCUCUAGCUCAAUGGCAGAGCGCCCGCCUGUGGAGCGGGAUGUUAGCAGUUCGAGCCUGCUGAGUCACCCCA
rnacentral:tRNA from 1 species